GUGAUCCUCCGAGCCAAUGGCCGACCCGCCUGCGAUUCCCGGAUAAGGAAAUCUGCUCACCCGGACCCCACUCCAGCCAAAGAGGAUUAGAAUCUGAUGGAUUGCCUACAACACACUUCUCCAGUUCUCCAGCCUCCUAGGGACCUGCAGAGGAAGAGAAGGAGUCAAGAUGAACACAAAAUUGGAGGCUUGGGAGAGAGUGAGAGAAUUAACAAGCUAAUCUUUCAAUAGGAUCCUUUGGGAUUCAGAAAACAGAAAAGAAAACGAAUUAGAGAUGCACGCACCUAAGGACAAGCCUGCAGAAGCCCCGAAAUAGGGUAUCCUCCGUGAUGCCUCCAAAUCCCCCAAGAGGCGACGCCCCACACAGGGCAAAAUGGUCUGGAGCCUGCGAGGUACCUUUCCUCCCUGGAUGCAUUCAGCCCUACCCCACUGGGCUCCGAGGUCAGGGAUCGCUGCGACCAAAAUCAGCCUCUGUGCUCCGAAGCCGCAAGGCUCAGCCCGGAUCCACUCGGGGAGAGGCAGGCCAGAGGGCGGCCUUGCAGCCUGGGAACCGUUUCCAGGGAGGAGAAGCUAGAGGAUACUGCAGAGAGUGCAUUUUUCCUCUCCAAGAGGAACUUUAGGGGGAGAAGAGACAAAAGAGGAGACGCCUAAAUCACCGAGAAAAGGAAAAAGGAGGGAAGAGAAACGUUAAAAGUUGGGGAAAAGGUGCUUUUUGGGAUCCGACAGGUUCCCGAAUUGUCGGAAGUCCAAUUCUCUCCAGGCUCCCAAAUUUCCCCUCUUCCUCUUGGAGCCUGCAAUCAGUAAAUUCGCCAAAAGAAAGAACGAAAGAUCCUCCUAAACCUGCCGGCGUGCCCCCACCCCAGGUCUGCAGCGGUUGAGGUGACUGCGGCGGUGUGGCCGGCGGCGCGUAAUGUAUGCUGCAGCGGCUCGGAGCCCCACGUAGGCCGGCGCUGCUGCCCCCGUCUGCUGACCUCUGCAUGAUCCCGGACUCUAUGAAUUAUUGAUGAGAUAUGAGCGUUGAUUUCCCCUUUCAGGAUGCAAACUCCAUUAUAUUGU